rnacentral:misc_RNA from 1 species
GGAAGAGAUUUGAAGGUCAAAAAGUGAAGAAUACAAUGCCAAAAAUAUUACACGGGCCAUGUCACCUGCCCCGUGUAACUUUCUAGACCCCGUGUAACUCUCUGGACUGAAGAAAACGUGAAAAAUGAAGUGACAGAAAUUUACAUGGGGCAUGUAUCACUACACGACCCGUGUAAAGUUCCCUGACAGCAAUUCUGAUACGACUUUUCAUCAUUCCAAUGAAAGCGCCUGUAUUAUAGGGAGAGAUUCUUACGUCGUAGCAGCCUGUAGAGACAGCAAGAU